rnacentral:rRNA from 1 species
GAUGAACGCUGGCGGCGUGCCUAAUACAUGCAAGUCGAGCGAACAGACGAGGAGCUUGCUCCUCUGACGUUAGCGGCGGACGGGUGAGUAACACGUGUAUAACCUACCUAUAAGACUGGGAUAACUUCGGGAAACCGGAGCUAAUACCGUAUAAUAUAUUGAACCGCAUGGUUCAAUAGUGAAAGACGGUUUUGCUGUCACUUAUAGAUGGAUCCGCGCCGCAUUAGCUAGUUGGUAAGGUAACGGCUUACCAAGGCAACGAUGCGUAGCCGACCUGAGAGGGUGGUCGGCCACACUGGAACUGAGACACGGUCCAGACUCCUACGGGAGGCAGCAGUAGGGAAUCUUCCGCAAUGGGCGAAAGCCUGACGGAGCAACGCCGCGUGAGUGAUGAAGGUCUUCGGAUCGUAAAACUCUGUUAUUAGGGAAGAACAAAUGUGUAAGUAACUAUGCACGUCUUGACGGUACCUAAUCAGAAAGCCACGGCUAACUACGUG